GACGAACGCUGGCGGCGUGCUUAACACAUGCAAGUCGAACGGAAAGGCCUAGCUUGCUGGGUACUCGAGUGGCGAACGGGUGAGUAACACGUGGGUGAUCUGCCCCUGACUUUGGGAUAAGCCUGGGAAACUGGGUCUAAUACCGGAUAUUCAUUUUUCCUCGCAUGGGGAUUUGUGGAAAGCUUUUGCGGUUGGGGAUGGGCCCUCGGCCUAUCAGCUUGUUGGUGGGGUAAUGGCCUACCAAGGCGACGACGGGUAGCCGACCUGAGAGGGUGAUCGGCCACACUGGGACUGAGACACGGCCCAGACUCCUACGGGAGGCAGCAGUGGGGAAUAUUGCACAAUGGGCGCAAGCCUGAUGCAGCGACGCCGCGUGAGGGAUGACGGCCUUCGGGUUGUAAACCUCUUUCAGCUCCGACGAAGCGCAAGUGACGGUAGGAGCAGAAGAAGCACCGGCCAACUACGUG
rnacentral:rRNA from 1 species